rnacentral:rRNA from 1 species
UACGGGGGGAGCAAGCGUUGUUCGGAUUUACUGGGCGUAAAGGGCGCGUAGGCGGCGUGACAAGUCACUUGUGAAAUCUCCGGGCUUAACUCGGAACGGUCAAGUGAUACUGUCGUGCUAGAGUACAGAAGGGGCAACUGGAAUUCUCGGUGUAGCGGUGAAAUGCGUAGAUAUCGAGAGGAACACCUGCGGCGAAGGCGGGUUGCUGGGCUGAUACUGACGCUGAGGCACGAAAGCGUGGGGAGCAAACAGG